AUUUUCCUUCACUUCACUCAGACACACUUCAGCAAGUGUGUCUGAGCCAACAUAGAAAGAUGGAGCAGCAAUUCAGAAGCAUCUCUCCUGAAGACAGAAGGCCAGUGCCCAGCUUCCUGUCACUCACUCGAGAGCAUUGGGCACCUGCUGGGGGCUGCAUGAGCUGCCAGUGAGCAGACAGGCAACGUCCCAGUGCUCCAGGGAUGCGUGUUCUAUCUGGGCAGAGACAACAGCAACCAGCAGACAAGAAACGCCGCAGAGUGCUGUGUGCUGGGUGCCGGGUGACGCUCAGGGUGGUCGUCUGGGCAUCCGUGUCAGAGUGCUGUGUGCCGGGCGACGCUCAGGGCGGCCCUGCGGGCAUCCGUGUCAGAGUGCUGUGUGCCGGGCGAUGCUCAGGGCGGCCGUGCGGGCAUCCAUGUCAGAGUGCUGUGUGCCGGGCGGAGCUCAGGGCGGCCCUGCGGGCAUCCAUGUCAGAGUGCUGUGUGCCGGGCGAUGCUCAGGGCGGCCGUGCGGGCAUCCAUGUCAGAGUGCUGUGUGCCGGGCGACAGUCAGGGCAGCCGUGCGGGCAUCCAUGUCAGAGUGCUGUGUGCCGGGCGACAGUCAGGGCAGCCGUGCGGGCAUCCGUGUCAGAGUGCUGUGUGCCGGGCGAUGCUCAGGGCGGCUGUGCGGGCAUCUGUGUCAGAGUGCUGUGUGCCGGGCGACGCUCAGGGCGGCCGUCUGGGCAUCCGUGUCAGAGUGCUGUGUGCCGGGCGACUCUCAGGGCGGCCGUGUGGGCAUCCGUGUCAGCGUUCUGUGUGCCGGGCGACUCUCAGGGCAGCCGUGCGGGCAUCCGUGUCAGAGUGCUGUGUGCCGGGCGACAGUCAGGGCAGCCGUGCGGGCAUCCGUGUCAGAGUGCUGUGUGCCGGGCGACUCUCAGGGCGGCCGUGUGGGCAUCCGUGUCAGAGUGCUGUGUGCCGGGCAACGCUCAGGGCGGCCGUGUGGGCAUCCGUGUCAGAGUGCUGUGUGCCGGGCGACGCUCAGGGCGGCUGUGUGAGCAUCCGUGUCAGUGAAACUAUUCCUGCACAAGAGAACUGUGACUGGAUUCUGCCAGGGAGGAGCUGUGACCAGCAGGGCAGAGACAUGGGAGGGAAGAGCCGGCGUCACCUCCAGGCCUCCUGCGCCCGAGAGGAGGGAAGAGCCGGUGUCACCUCCAGGCCUCCUGCACCCGAGGGGAGGAAGAGCCGGCGUCACUGGCCACAGGAAAUGCACCUGGUGACUCUGCUGAGAUCUUGCUAAGAACUCCUAUCGCCAUGAUGAACACCUUGUCGUGGGGACGACUCUGUGAAAGGUUCCAGCUCUGUCUCCUGCCACAGCCUCUGAACUGGGAUGUGAACCUUUCGGUGUCUGGCCAUUAUCACCCUGAUGGUGAACUGGGCAGCCUUAAAUUUCAAUAUUGAAGGGUCAAUCACUGGAAACUAUAUAGACAAGUAGACGUCAGCAUAGGUAACAAUUGUGAACCUUUCGGUGUCUGGCCAUUAUCACCCUGAUGGUGAACUGGGCAGCCUUAAAUUUCAAUAUUGAAGGGUCAAUCGCUGGAAACUAUAUAGACAAGUAGACGUCAG
rnacentral:lncRNA from 1 species